rnacentral:rRNA from 1 species
UAAAGCGAUUCAGCGGGUUACGAUUGACGGAGCGAAGCGACGUCAAAGCGUAUACAAAGUCGAGUCGGUUUAAGGAUACGUUCGUUGGGUAGGGGAGCGUUCUGUAAGCCUGUGAAGGUGGCCUGUGAGGGUUGCUGGAGGUAUCAGAAGUGCGAAUGCUGACAUAAGUAACGAUAAAGCGGGUGAAAAGCCCGCUCGCCGGAAGACCAAGGGUUCCUGUCCAACGUUAAUCGGGGCAGGGUGAGUCGACCCCUAAGGCGAGGCCGAAAGGCGUAGUCGAUGGGAAACGGGUUAAUAUUCCCGUACUUGGUGUUACUGCGAAGGGGGGACGGAGAAGGCUAUGUUGGCCGGGCGACGGUUGUCCCGGUUUAAGCGUGUAGGUGUGUGUUCCAGGUAAAUCCGGUUCACUUUAACACUGAGGCGUGACGACGAGGCACUACGGUGCUGAAGCAACAAAUGCCCUGCUUCCAGGAAAAGCCUCUAAGCAUCAGGUAACAUCAAAUCGUACCCCAAACCGACACAGGUGGUCAGGUAGAGAAUACCAAGGCGCUUGAGAGAACUCGGGUGAAGGAACUAGGCAAAAUGGUGCCGUAACUUCGGGAGAAGGCACGCUGACACGUAGGUGAAGUGAUUUACUCAUGGAGCUGAAGUCAGUCGAAGAUACCAGCUGGCUGCAACUGUUUAUUAAAAACACAGCACUGUGCAAACACGAAAGUGGACGUAUACGGUGUGACGCCUGCCCGGUGCCGGAAGGUUAAUUGAUGGGGUCAGCGCAAGCGAAGCUCCUGAUCGAAGCCCCGGUAAACGGCGGCCGUAACUAUAACGGUCCUAAGGUAGCGAAAUUCCUUGUCGGGUAAGUUCCGACCUGCACGAAUGGCGUAAUGAUGGCCAGGCUGUCUCCACCCGAGACUCAGUGAAAUUGAACUCGCUGUGAAGAUGCAGUGUACCCGCGGCAAGACGGAAAGACCCCGUGAACCUUUACUAUAGCUUGACACUGAACAUUGAGCCUUGAUGUGUAGGAUAGGUGGGAGGCUUUGAAGUGUGGACGCCAGUCUGCAUGGAGCCGACCUUGAAAUACCACCCUUUAAUGUUU